rnacentral:lncRNA from 1 species
UUUUUUUGAGAGGAUUAAUAUUCAACAGCAUAGUGAAUUGCUCUAAAAGAAAACAAAAAUUUUAAGUUCAUUAGAACACAUUCAUUCUGUGUCAGAAACCUAUGCUGUGUCAACUAUUUAAUCACAAUCCAAAUUUAGAGCUGAAUCCAGCUUGAAUGUUGUGUCCAUACUUGCCCCAACCGUUCAGGGUUCAACCUCUGCGGUCGUAUAAAGCUACGCCCUGCGGAGCAUCUGGUUCAUUUUGACGAAA